UUUUCUCAGGUUGGAGUGGUUAAUCUGUUCCUUUACAUGAUAAUGUAUACUCAGAUGCAUCUUGUAAUGUGAUUGUUGGCGACAUGGCACAUGUAUGAAAGUCUUCUGUCACAGUUGACUCAGCAAGAAUGAAGAGAUCGAUACACUUUUGCAUUAUGGAAUACACAAGUUGGCAGUUCCUCGCCCACUGCCACCCAAAUACAGGUAUAAGAAAUCCUUAUCUGUACGUUACAGACGAUGCAGACGAAGUGAUUAUUAUGUGUGGCAAAAGAUUAUUUUAUGAAGUUUUUAUCUUUCUGACUUCGUGAUGGAACUUAUUGGAGUACACUUUUUUUGGAGAUAGGAGGAGUAUUGCCGCUGCAAGCAUGAACAAUAAUAAAACAUUCCAAAGAAUAAUU
rnacentral:lncRNA from 1 species